rnacentral:rRNA from 1 species
AGAGUUUGAUCCUGGCUCAGAUUGAACGCUGGCGGCAUGCCUUACACAUGCAAGUCGAACGGUAACGCGGGGCAACCUGGCGACGAGUGGCGAACGGGUGAGUAAUACAUCGGAACGUGCCCAGUAGUGGGGGAUAGCCCGGCGAAAGCCGGAUUAAUACCGCAUACGACCUACGGGUGAAAGCGGGGGAUCGCAAGACCUCGCGCUAUUGGAGCGGCCGAUGUCAGAUUAGGUAGUUGGUGGGGUAAAGGCCUACCAAGCCGACGAUCUGUAGCUGGUCUGAGAGGACGACCAGCCACACUGGGACUGAGACACGGCCCAGACUCCUACGGGAGGCAGCAGUGGGGAAUUUUGGACAAUGGGCGCAAGCCUGAUCCAGCCAUGCCGCGUGCGGGAAGAAGGCCUUCGGGUUGUAAACCGCUUUUGUCAGGGAAGAAACGCGCUGAGCUAAUACCUCGGCGUAAUGACGGUACCUGAAGAAUAAGCACCGGCUAACUACGUGCCAGCAGCCGCGGUAAUACGUAGGGUGCAAGCGUUAAUCGGAAUUACUGGGCGUAAAGCGUGCGCAGGCGGCUUUGCAAGACAGAUGUGAAAUCCCCGGGCUUAACCUGGGAACUGCAUUUGUGACUGCAUGGCUGGAGUGCGGCAGAGGGGGAUGGAAUUCCGCGUAGCAGUGAAAUGCGUAGAUAUGCGGAGGAACACCGAUGGCGAAGGCAAUCCCCUGGGCCUGCACUGACGCUCAUGCACGAAAGCGUGGGGAGCAAACAGGAUUAGAUACCCCCGUAGUCC